GACGAACGCUGGUGGCGUGCCUAAUACAUGCAAGUCGAGCGGACCAAUAGAAGCUUGCUUCUGUUGGUUAGCGGCGGACGGGUGAGUAACACGUGGGCAACCUGCCUGUAAGACUGGGAUAACUUCGGGAAACCGGAGCUAAUACCGGAUAAUUCAUCCCCUCGCAUGAGGGGGUGCUGAAAGUCGGUUUACGCUGACACUUACAGAUGGGCCCGCGGCGCAUUAGCUAGUUGGUGAGGUUAUGGCUCACCAAGGCGACGAUGCGUAGCCGACCUGAGAGGGUGAUCGGCCACACUGGGACUGAGACACGGCCCAGGCUCCUACGGGAGGCAGCAGUAGGGAAUCUUCCACAAUGGACGAAAGUCUGAUGGAGCAACGCCGCGUGAGCGAUGAAGGCCUUCGGGUCGUAAAGCUCUGUUGUUAGGGAAGAACAAGUAUCGGAGUAACUGCCGGUACCUUGACGGUACCUAACCAGAAAGCCACGGCUAACUACGUGCCAGCAGCCGCAGUAA
rnacentral:rRNA from 1 species